UCAAAAAAAAAAAAGGGAAAAGGGAAGCUAAUUUGAAACCCUAGCCGCCGCGGACCACAGCUUCGUCGCGCCGCCGCCCUCGCCGCCGAAAUUUCUCCGCCAACCACCGCGUCGGAGUCGAGAGUUACGAAGCCGCGCAGCCCAGCCAGCCGACCCGCACUCUCCAGCCGUUGCCUUCGCGGAUCAUAAGCCGACCCGCGUCUCGCUAGCCGAACUCCCCCGUCUGCUAGCCGUCGCUGAGCACCGCUAAAGCCCAGCCAUCGAAGCCGCGGUGUUAGCCGGAUGGCCCUGCAAACCCCGUUGAUCCGCCCGAGUCUCGAAACCUGCGUCGCACCUCGUUUACGCGUAAAAUCGACCCAGUCGUGCCUCCGCCCCGCAACCCGAACGACCCGCGUCCGCACCGCCAGCUGAGCCGUACGCGCACAGUACCUGCGCCCAAGCCGAGCCGCGCCUGCAUCGUAGCCGAGCCGCGCCUAUCUACGCUGUGUCCGAGCCGAUCCCAACCUACAAGCCGAGCCGAUUCCUGCUUGUCUAGUCGAGCCGACCCGCCUGUCCUUGAGUCGCCAGCCUGCUCCGGUCCCUUUGCACCUAUUUUGGAACACCUUGGACCAAUUGACUUGGAGCGUUGGAUUUCUUCAUCAAGGGCUCAAGCGUUGCAACCUCGACCUAGGGACCUCACUGCUUGGAAAGCACAUUUUUCUGGCCGUUAGGACUCGUUGAGCAAAUCUCCAGGUAGAGGCCGAGGUAGGGGCAAGGGCAAGCUGGCGAGCGACCAGAAGUGACCGUGGCGAGCCAUAGUGAUUUCUACUUCCGCUUACACCUCGUUUUAGACAUUUAGUACUUGAGUUUUAUUUUCUUCCUUAUUCACUAUUUCAUUUCUUUAAAAGUAGAUAGGGCCCGAGUAGGAUUUUAAUAUU